CACGUAGGGCGCAAGCGUUGUCCGGAAUUAUUUGGGCGUAAAGAGCUCGUAGGCGGUCUGUUGCGUCCGCUGUGAAAACUCGGGGCUUAACCCCCGAGCCUGCAGUGGAUACGGGCAGACUAGAGGUAGGUAGGGAGAAUGGAAUUCCCGGUGUAGCGGUGAAAUGCGCAGAUAUCGGGAGGAACACCGGUGCGAAGGCGGUCUCUGGGCCUUA
rnacentral:rRNA from 1 species